CUCACGUUGCUGCAUUAGGACUAAAGAGCUGGCAGUGACGGCUGGCUGAGAAGCAGCAGUCAGCACAGCACAUUCAGUGCCCCACCUGCGGGCACUCCGGGCUCUGGGCUGCCCCAGUGGAGGUGCUGUGGUCCUGCUGGGCUCCAGGCAGGGUUCGUGGGCGGCUCCAGCAGCGGGGCUGACAGCUUGCUGUUUCUGGAGUGUGUUAUUUUCCCCCUUUGCUGUGAUUCAGGAGGGAAGGACUCAUCUUUCCAGAGAUUACUCACGUUAUGUAGUAAUCAAAAGUGACCACUCUCUCUGAGGUCCUUCCAGAUGGACAUUACCAGCCCACGCUCCCCAAAAAGAGCAUCUCACCACUCCUCACUUUCUUUCUUUUUUUGGUUGGUUUUAAUUGUCGCGCAGCCAUUUUAGGACUCCAAGACUUUCGAAAGACAAGACUUUCUUUUUACUAGAAACUAAUUGCACCUCCAGGUUUUUUACAAGACCCAUUUGGCUGACCGCAUUUUGGUGUGUGCAGCAGAUGACUGCAUGCAGUGUCCAGCAUUCCUACCCCUUUGUGGCAAUGAGUGCCCUCAGUUGUGCAGUGGUGUCAGCCCUACGAGGCCCUGCUCCCCAGGCAGGCACAGGCUGACCCCGUGGUGCCCAUUUGGGUGCUGGUGGAAAACAGAGAGCAGAGAACAAAGCAAUACUGAUGCAUGCUGGCUGUUCUUGCAGUAGUGAUCUUCGGAAAUGGAGCCAUGCACAGAGGGGGGAGGUUCACAACAACGUGGUUCUGAAGUUCCAUGUGGUUCAGAAAUCCUUUCACUGACCUAUAUGCAAGAGAUCUUAUUCAUUCCUUGUGCACAUUUCGGUAUAGCAGCAGAAAGAGGUGAUACCGAGCAGAGGUAAAACUAUGAUGAUGUCCUUGAGAAGAGCCUGAUGUCCUGUGGUGCAUCGCCGUGCCACGUGCAUGCAGCGCAGCGCAGGAGGGCACUGACUUGGCAUGGCACUGCUGACACACCGAGCACUAAAACCACACUGGAUAUUGCAGAGUUCACCAUUUAGAGACAGAACUACCUAACAUGCCCAGGCAUGUUUUUUAGAUUUGUUUCCAAUGAUUUGGCAACUCUGCCUGCAGUUCAUUUCCCCCUUCACAUGCACUGGGAAGCUCAGAAGAGUGUUUUCACAGCCAGAGUGGCUCCUGCAGGUCCCGCCGCCUGGAGAAAGAGAACACGAUUUAGGUUAUGGGAAUGUUGGUUCCAGAGGCAGUGUGAUUCAUGCUGAAACCAUCCUGUGCCAUCUGAUCCACAUGUCCACCCGAAGGUAGAGGCACUGCUGCGCACUGUGAGCCGCUCCACUCUGAGUUCUCAUUGCAGAACAACUAUAACAGCAGAGAAAAAGGAAUGGCUGCAUUCUGCCAAAGAGAGGAUGACUUGCUGUUUAUGGAAAGCACUCGAGUGCAGGAGAGAUCGCGCUACAGUUAAACAGACAAUGCUUAAAGGGCCAUUGCCUACGCUUAGUUUAACAGAGCCUUUCUCACUGAUUUCCAAGAAGGAAGGUGUUCUGCAUCUCUGCUGCUGGGCACCACAUCACAAAUUGAUGCUGGAAGGCAAACUAGUGCUACAUUCAGUAGGAUGGAGAAGAUGACUCUGCACUUCAGUUUUUGUGAGAACUGAGAGAUUUACUUUUGGUGUAAAUGCGGCGCAUGUCCCCUCGGUAGCCCAGCACCUCAGCAUGUGCAAGAACAUGCUCCUUGUACAUGGAACAGUGGCUAGUAGGACCAAGCUAAGACAUCCAUAAGUGGCACAGCCAAGCGAUGGGACCACUGUGUGCUUGGGAGAGCUCUACUGCUCCUGGAGAGCAGCGGGGUGGUACCAAAAUUUGCCUGCAGGUGACAGAUCGGUUGGGUUAGGAAGCAGCUGCUCCCAUCUGCUCAUCCACAACCUGCCCCGGUCACAAGAUGGGCUGUUGGUCUUCACCACAUCCCUCUGCAUGUCCAACCAUGUGCCUUGUGGCUACAGAGCUUCUGCAGCUCUUAGUGAGACACUGCAUAAGCAUUUAGUGCUGAGGGUGAGCACUGCAGAGCAUUGAGUUCCCUGGGCAGUUCUGCUGAGCACUGCGUGCCACUGCACGGCCUUCUUGCUCUGCUCUGCUCACCACAGCCAGUGAUGGCAGAGUGCCUCGAGAGGAUGGAGGUGCUCAGAGAGGGUGGGCUUUGCGUGACACUGCAGUGAGCUGGAGAUUUCAUGCAUGGCCCUUCCAACUGUGUGCAUUCUCAGAGACCAUGUGAGGACAAGGAUGCUAUAUUUUUAGAAGACGAAAGAAGAAAAUGAAAAGAAGAAAAUGAAAAGAAAAACUGUACAGAGCUCUGCAGCACG